rnacentral:rRNA from 1 species
UACGGGGGGGCAAGCGUUGUUCGGAAUUACUGGGCGUAAAGGGCUCGUAGGCGGCCAACUAAGUCAGACGUGAAAUCCCCAGGCUUAACCUGGGAACUGCGUCUGAUACUGGAUGGCUUGAAUUCGGGAGAGGGAUGCAGAAUUCCAGGUGUAGCGGUGAAAUGCGUAGAUAUCUGGAGGAAUACCGGUGGCGAAGGCGGCAUCCUGGACCGGCAUUGACGCUGAGGAGCGAAAGCUAGGGGAGCAAACGGGG